rnacentral:rRNA from 1 species
AGACCCGAAACCCGGUGAUCUAGCCAUGGGCAGGUUGAAGGUUGGGUAACACUAACUGGAGGACCGAACCGACUAAUGUUGAAAAAUUAGCGGAUGACCUGUGGCUGGGGGUGAAAGGCCAAUCAAACCGGGAGAUAGCUGGUUCUCCCCGAAAGCUAUUUAGGUAGCGCCUCGUGAAUUCAUCUCCGGGGGUAGAGCACUGUUUCGGCCAGGGGGCCAUCCCGGCUUACCAACCCGAUGCAAACUGCGAAUACCGGAGAAUGUUAUCACGGGAGACACACGGCGGGUGCUAACGUCCGUCGUGAAGAGGGAAACAACCCAGACCGCCAGCUAAGGUCCCAAAGUCAUGGUUAAGUGGGAAACGAUGUGGGAAGGCCCAGACAGCCAGGAUGUUGGCUUAGAAGCAGCCAUCAUUUAAAGAAAGCGUAAUAGCUCACUGGUCGAGUCGGCCUGCGCGGAAGAUGUAACGGGGCUAAACCAUGCACCGAAG